AUUGAACGCUGGCGGCAGGCCUAACACAUGCAAGUCGAGCGAGCGGCGGACGGGUGAGUAAUGUAUGGGGAUCUGCCCGGUAGCGGGGGAUAACUACUGGAAACGGUGGCUAAUACCGCAUACUAUUGGAUGAGCCCAUAUGGGAUUAGCUAGUAGGUGGGGUAAAGGCUCACCAAGGCGACGAUCCCUAGCUGGUGUGAGAGGAUGAUCAGCCACACUGGGACUGAGACACGGCCCAGACUCCUACGGGAGGCAGCAGUGGGGAAUAUUGGACAAUGGGGGAAACCCUGAUGCAGCCAUGCCGCGUGUAUGAAGAAGGCCUUAGGGUUGUAAAGUACUUUCAGCGGGGAAGCGUUAUCCGCAGAAGAAGCACCGGCUAACUCCGUGCCAGCAGCCGCGGUAAUAC
rnacentral:rRNA from 1 species